rnacentral:lncRNA from 1 species
AAAGGCUGCUAACCUGUGAACUUUUAGACGGCAGCAAUUUCAAUAUUUAAACUUAUUAGAUUGAUGAAGAAAACAGAAACUACAUGAGACAAAUCAGAAACUGCACUUCCAUUAGACCAGUACAUCAUACCCUUACUAUGAAAUCACAUUCUCUCACAGAUUUCCUCCCUCUCUAAAUUCCAAUUACAAUCAUAUACCCUCAUCCUCUCCAUCAUUUUAUUUUUCUCCCUCCCUUUCUCGCACUUUCACCUUUUCGUAACACCCUUAACCACCUACAUUGUACCACCUAUACCCCUUCUUCGUCGUGUUAAAUCCCUAUGAGAAAAUUGGGUUAGUAGAUGAAUACGAUAUUAUAAGAUGUACCAGAAAUGGAAGAAUUUACAUUUUAGAAAUAUGAAGGAAAUUUAGUAAUAAUUGACACCAAACAUAAAUAUAUGAUACUGAGCCACCUUUAGAAAUGUAGUCUUAUUUUCUACACAUAAUGGUCAUCAUAGCAUUCGUACAAAAGAUUAACAGCCAAAGUUACAGAAAGCCAAAUUGUGUAAUGUAAAUUUUAAAAAUAGAAUGCUACUUUGAUUGAUAAACAUUAUGAAUGCCAAAAGUGUAUAUUUAACUCUCAAUUUUUAAGUGUUUUGGGUGUGUUGAUGAAAAAAUAUGUUGCAAAAAAUGAGAAAAAAAACAUAAAUAAAAAAUGCCAAAUAGUAAAACAACAUGUAAAAGCAAAAGGCCAAAUGAAAAAAUGCCAAAGUUAAAAAAUGCCAAAUGGUAUUAAAAAUACCUGUCUGCUAAUGUACUAGCCAGCCGGCCUGAGGGUUAGCUGGACUUUAAGGUGCUAGUUCACCAAGACAAAUGCCCACAGUGGGUCACCUAUCUUUUCCUUUUGGAGUACCAGUUUUUUAGUCUCCGAUUUGACUUGGUGGGCUUAAAAUUAACUGAGAUAAAAUUGAAAAGUAUAUAAAAAAAUAGUCAUAUGUACAAUUUAAAAAUGUUGUCAUAACAAAAUUAAAAUAUCCCCUUAGACCCCCAUUCCCAAAUGGAUAAAAAUAAAUUAAAAUAUCCCUUUUUCCCCAAAUAAAACGAAGGUAAACAAGAUUUUUUGACCUAGCCACCAAGCGCGGUGCCACCAGGCUAGGAUCAGACCUAGCCACCGCGCUUGGUGCCUCCAGGCUAGGAUCGAGCCUCCUCACUCAGUUUGUACAAGUAAUAGCAGAUACUUGAUACGUAUGGUAGGGGACGUUACUAUACCUAAAAGGGAGGUAUAGUAUCUGUGAACCCUAAACACAGAGCGCGG